AGCCGUCCUUGAAAUACCACCCUUGUAUGUUUGAUGUUCUAACGUUGGCCCCUAAUCGGGGUUGCGGACAGUGCCUGGUGGGUAGUUUGACUGGGGCGGUCUCCUCCCAAAGAGUAACGGAGGAGCACGAAGGUGGGCUAAUCACGGUUGGACAUCGUGAGGUUAGUGCAAUGGCAUAAGCCCGCUUAACUGCGAGAAUGACGGUUCGAGCAGGUGCGAAAGCAGGUCAUAGUGAUCCGGUGGUUCUGAAUGGAAGGGCCAUCGCUCAACGGAUAAAAGGUACUCCGGGGAUAACAGGCUGAUACCGCCCAAGAGUUCAUAUCGACGGCGGUGUUUGGCACCUCGAUGUCGGCUCAUCACAUCCUGGGGCUGAAGUCGGUCCCAAGGGUAUGGCUGUUCGCCAUUUAAAGUGGUACGCGAGCUGGGUUUAGAACGUCGUGAGACAGUUCGGUCCCUAUCUGCCGUGGGCGUUGGAAGAUUGAAGGGGGCUGCUCCUAGUACGAGAGGACCGGAGUGGACGAACCUCUGGUGUUCGGGUUGUGUCGCCAGACGCAUUGCCCGGUAGCUAAGUUCGGAAUCGAUAACCGCUGAAAGCAUCUAAGCGGGAAGCGAGCCCUGAGAUGAGUCUU
rnacentral:rRNA from 1 species